GACGAACGCUGGCGGCGUGCUUAACACAUGCAAGUCGAACGGAAAGGCCCUGCUUUUGUGGGGUGCUCGAGUGGCGAAAGGGUGAGUAAAACGUGAGUAAAAUGCACUUGACUUUGGGAUAACUUCAGGAAACAGGGGCGAAUACCGGAUAGGAGCUCCUGCAGCAUGGUGGGGGUUGGAAAGUGUCGGCGGUUGGGGAUUGACUCGCGGCUUAUCAGCUUGUUGGUGGGGUAGUGGCUUACCAAGGCUUUGACGGGUAGCCGGCCUGAGAGGGUGACCGGCCUCAUUGGGCCUGCGAUACGGCCCAGUCUCCUACGGUAGGCAGCAGUGGGGAAUAUUGCACAAUAGGCGGAAGCCUGAUGCAGCAGCGCCGCGUGCGGGAUGACGGCCUUCGGGUUGUAAACCGCUUUCGCCUGUGACGAAGCGUGAUUGACGGUAAUGGGUAAAGAAGCACCGGCUAACUACGUG
rnacentral:rRNA from 1 species